GACGAACGCUGGCGGCGUGCUUAACACAUGCAAGUCGAACGGAAAGGCCCUGCUUUUGUGGGGUGCUCGAGUGGCGAACGGGUGAGUAACACGUGAGUAACCUGCCCUUGACUUUGGGAUAACUUCAGGAAACUGGGGCUAAUACCGGAUAGGAGCUCCUGCUGCAUGGUGGGGGUUGGAAAGUUUCGGCGGUUGGGGAUGGACUCGCGGCUUAUCAGCUUGUUGGUGGGGUAGUGGCUUACCAAGGCUUUGACGGGUAGCCGGCCUGAGAGGGUGACCGGCCACAUUGGGACUGAGAUACGGCCCAGACUCCUACGGGAGGCAGCAGUGGGGAAUAUUGCACAAUGGGCGGAAGCCUGAUGCAGCAACGCCGCGUGCGGGAUGACGGCCUUCGGGUUGUAAACCGCUUUCGCCUGUGACGAAGCGUGAGUGACGGUAAUGGGUAAAGAAGCACCGGCUAACUACGUGCCAGCAGCCGCGGUGAUACGUAGGGUGCGAGCGUUGUCCGGAUUUAUUGGGCGUAAAGGGCUCGUAGGUGGUUGAUCGCGUCGGAAGUGUAAUCUUGGGGCUUAACCCUGAGCGUGCUUUCGAUACGGGUUGACUUGAGGAAGGUAGGGGAGAAUGGAAUUCCUGGUGGAGCGGUGGAAUGCGCAGAUAUCAGGAGGAACACCAGUGGCGAAGGCGGUUCUCUGGGCCUUUCCUGACGCUGAGGAGCGAAAGCGUGGGGAGCGAACAGGCUUAGAUACUCUGGUAGUCCACGCUGUAAACGGUGGGUACUAGGUGUGGGGUCCAUUCCACGGGUUCCGUGCCGUAGCUAACGCUUUAAGUACCCCGCCUGGGGAGUACGGCCGCAAGGCUAAAACUCAAAGGAAUUGACGGGGCCCCGCACAAGCGGCGGAGCAUGCGGAUUAAUUCGAUGCAACGCGUAGAACCUUACCUGGGUUUGACAUGGAUCGGGAGCGCUCAGAGAUGGGUGUGCCUCUUUUGGGGUCGGUUCACAGGUGGUGCAUGGCUGUCGUCAGCUCGUGUCGUGAGAUGUUGGGUUAAGUCCCGCAACGAGCGCAACCCUUGUUCACUGUUGCCAGCACGUUAUGGUGGGGACUCAGUGGAGACCGCCGGGGUCAACUCGGAGGAAGGUGGGGAUGACGUCAAGUCAUCAUGCCCCUUAUGUCCAGGGCUUCACGCAUGCUACAAUGGCUGGUACAGAGAGUGGCGAGCCUGUGAGGGUGAGCGAAUCUCGGAAAGCCGGUCUCAGUUCGGAUUGGGGUCUGCAACUCGACCUCAUGAAGUCGGAGUCGCUAGUAAUCGCAGAUCAGCAACGCUGCGGUGAAUACGUUCCCGGG
rnacentral:rRNA from 1 species